rnacentral:rRNA from 1 species
UACGGAGGAUGCAAGCGUUAUCCGGAAUGAUUGGGCGUAAAGCGUCCGCAGGUGGCUGUGUAAGUCUGCUGUCAAAGAGCGAAGCUCAACUUCGUAAAGGCAGUGGAAACUACACGGCUAGAGUGCGUUCGGGGCAGAGGGAAUUCCUGGUGUAGCGGUGAAAUGCGUAGAGAUCAGGAAGAACACCGGUGGCGAAGGCGCUCUGCUGGACCAUAACUGACACUCAGGGACGAAAGCUAGGGGAGCGAAUGGG